rnacentral:rRNA from 1 species
GACGAACGCUGGCGGCGUGCCUAAUACAUGCAAGUCGAACGCACAGUUUAUACCGUAGCUUGCUACACCAUAGACUGUGAGUUGCGAACGGGUGAGUAACGCGUAGGUUACCUGCCUGGUAGCGGGGGAUAACUACUGGAAACGAUAGCUAAUACCGCAUAAUAUUCAUUAUUCCAUGAUAAUAAAUUGAAAGGUGCAAUUGCACCACUACCAGAUGGACCUGCGUUGUAUUAGCUAGUAGGUGAGGUAACGGGUCACCUAGGCGACGAAUCAUAGCCGACCUGAGAGGGGGAUCGGCCCCACUGGGACCUGGGCACGGCCCAAACCCCUUCGGGGAGGAGCAGUAGGGGAUCUUCGGGAAAGGACGAAAGUCUGACCGGGCAAAGCCGCGUGAGUGAAGGAGGUUUUCGGAUCGGAAAGAUCUGUUGUGAGGGAAGGACGGAUGUGGGAGUGAAAAGUGCACACUGUGACGGUAUCUUACCAGAAAGCGACGGCUAACUACGUG